rnacentral:rRNA from 1 species
UUCGUAGGCGGGAUAUUAAGUCAGUGGUGAAAUCCUACAGCUUAACUGUAGAACUGCCAUUGAUACUGAUAUUCUUGAAUUCACCUGAAGUAGGCGGAACAUGACAUGUAGCGGUGAAAUGCUUAGAUAUGUCAUAGAACACCGAUUGCGAAGGCAGCUUACUAAAGUGAUAUUGACGCUGAUGGACGAAAGCGUGGGGAGCGAACAGGAUUAGAUACCCUGGUAGUCC